GCAACCAACGCAUCGACCGCGGCCUGAUUUUCAGACCGCACUCAUUCAAAAGGCGCGAGCAAUGCUCGCGCCGUUUUUGUUUUCUUACGCUUUCGCUUAAGGAAGGGGCGGGUCAGCCCAGAGCUUCCCGGCAGCCCUUCAACGAACGCAGCGCGCGGCCGAAGUCACGUCCCGUCGAAAUCAGAUGCGGGAUCGACUUCGGGUUACGCGCGAUCCCGCGCAUCACCUUCCACAUAUCGACAUUGCCGUUCGGCUUGAUGGCCUUCAUCGUCAGUUCCGGCAGCGCACGGUGCGCCGGAUCGCUGAUAACGCGCACUGCCGCAAACGGCAGGCCGUUGUAUUCGGCGUAAGCGAUAUGGCUCUCCAUAUCGAUGGCAUCGGCGCCGGUGGUAGCGCGCAGCGCAGCCUUGGCCAC
rnacentral:misc_RNA from 1 species